rnacentral:rRNA from 1 species
UCUGGUGGCUAUAGCAAAGAGGUCACACCUGUUCCCAUGCCGAACACAGUAGUUAAGCUCUUUUGCGCCGAUGGUAGUUGGGACUUUGUCCCUGUGAGAGUAGGACGUCGCCAGGC